rnacentral:rRNA from 1 species
CAAGCAGCGGAGCGUGUGGUUUAAUUCGAUGCUACACGAAGAACCUUACCAGGGUUUGACAUGCAAGUGGUAGGAAACCGAAAGGCGACCGACCCUUCGGGGAGCUUGCACAGGUGCUGCAUGGCUGUCGUCAGCUCGUGUCGUGAGAUGUUCGGUUAAGUCCGCUAACGAGCGCAACCCUCGCUGUGUGUUACAAGUGUCACACGGUACUGCCGGUCUUAAGCCGGAGGAAGGUGGGGAUGACGUCAAGUCAGCAUGGCCUUUAUGUCCUGGGCUACACACACGCUACAAUGGUCAACACAAUAGGUUGCUAAGCCGCGAGGUGGAGCCAAUCCUCAAAGUUGGUCUCAGUUCAGAUUGCAGGCUGCAACCCGCCUGCAUGAAGAUGGAGUUGCUAGUAACCGCAGGUCAGCUAUACUGCGGUGAAUACGUUCCCGGGGCUU